rnacentral:rRNA from 1 species
CACGAGCGGCGAACGGGUGAGUAACACGUGAGCAAUCUGCCCUUCUCUUUGGAAUAACCAUUGGAAACGAUGGCUAAUGCCGAAUAUGACCUCCUUUCGCAUGUUUGGAGGUGGAAAGCUCCGGCGGAGAAGGAUGAGCUCGCGGCCUAUCAGCUUGUUGGUGAGGUAAUGGCUCACCAAGGCAUUGACGGGUAGCCGGCCUGAGAGGGUGACCGGCCACACUGGGACUGAGACACGGCCCAGACUCCUACGGGAGGCAGCAGUGGGGAAUAUUGGACAAUGGGCGAAAGCCUGAUCCAGCAACGCCGCGUGAGGGAUGACGGCCUUCGGGUUGUAAACCUCUUUCAGCAGGGACGAAGCGAAAGUGACGGUACCUGCAGAAGAAGGACCGGCCAACUACGUGCCAGCAGCCGCGGUAAUACGUAGGGUCCGAGCGUUGUCCGGAAUUAUUGGGCGUAAAGGGCUCGUAGGCGGUUUGUCGCGUCGGGAGUGAAAACUCAGGGCUCAACCCUUAGCGUGCUUCCGAUACGGGCAGACUAGAGGUAUUCAGGGGAGAACGGAAUUCCUGUGUAGCGGUGGAAUGCGCAGAUAUCAGGAGGAACACCGGUGGCGAAAGCGGUCUCUUGGAAUUACCUGACGC